rnacentral:rRNA from 1 species
UACGUAGGGGGCAAGCGUUGUCCGGAAUCAUUGGGCGUAAAGAGCGUGUAGGCGGCUUGGUAAGUCCGCUGUGAAAGUCCAGGGCUCAACCCUGGAAUGCCGGUGGAAACUGUCAAGCUUGAGUCCGGAAGAGGCGAGUGGAAUUCCCGGUGUAGCGGUGAAAUGCGUAGAUAUCGGGAAGGAACACCAGUGGCGAAGGCGAUCACCUGGGGUUGUUCUGACGCUGAGGAGCGAAAGCUAGGGAGCAAACGGG